rnacentral:lncRNA from 1 species
UUCACCUUUAUUUUCUGUAAUGUCUAAAUGUAAUUUAGCAUUUCCUUCAAUUAUUCAAAAAACAUUAUAGGCACCCCCAGACUGCCAAAGCAGAUUCCACAGCACCAUAAAAAUUAAACAUUCCCCCAGUGUCUGUUUCCCUCCUUUUUAGGUCUUUAAUUUAAUCGGAGGCCGUUGGGAUUUCUGGAGGGAUUUCUGUUCAGAUAUGAGUUAGAACAGAUGGUUUCGGAGAUCCCUUUCAGUUCUGGGAUCCUGUGAGACUCAUAUGGCCUCUGGACACAUGUUAAGUUUGAGGAAUGUAACUUCCCUAUGAUAUGGCAAUGCCCAGAUUUCAGGCUGGGGGCAGAACAAACCAAGUUUUUGCACCUUAAUGGAGGCCCUUCCUAUGACUGAUAGGAGCAGAAGCCUAGGAAGCCCCACUUCUUCCUUCCUUGUUGGCUCUCCAGCUGUAGAAGCCGAGUCCAAGUGGAGCCAAGGAGGGACAUGAAUUCCAGAGCUGUUGUUUUAGUGAAUUUUUUUUCAGCCUUUUUUAGCCUUUCUGGAGAGGUUACAAGAUUCUUUCCACAUGAUUGUAGUGUAGCUGGAGGAUAGGGAAGCCUAUUAGAAACCCCUGUUGAGUCAGAGUCUGGUGAGGUGUGAGAAGAAACAAAGGAAUCUGCCUUCAACUGGUUUUUCAAAGCUGGAGAAAUCCUGGGAGGAGAAGAAAAAAGGAGAGGUAAAUGCAUGCUGGGAAACAAAGAUGAGAAGAUUGAGUCCUGGGAAAGGGAAGUCAAGUGUAAGGUCCAAUAUAAAGGAGGAAUCAAAGGACUGCAAGACAAUUGGGAGUGGAUGGCGGUACUCUCCCAAUUGGGAGACACUGGAAUCAUAGAACCCAGCAUGUGAUUUUCCACCAUCAAUCAAGGAAUUGGAGAGAAAAAUGAGAGAAAGAUGGACCACCUUCUCAUUGACUAUUCAUCAAUUAGAGAUGUCUUCAGAUGUGUAGAGGAGGGAUGAAUAGUUCCAAAGUUGUAUUAAUUGAUCCUUAUGGUGAGAUUUCUUGGUCUUUGAUCACCGAGAAAGAUUAUUGAUCAAUUAAUUUAUUGACCAUUGAUUGCCUAAUCAAUAAAUUUAUUUUCUUGUCCCUAAAGUCA